UACGGAGGGGGCUAGCGUUGUUCGGAAUUACUGGGCGUAAAGCGCACGUAGGCGGCUUUGUAAGUUAGAGGUGAAAGCCCAGGGCUCAACCCUGGAAUUGCCUUUAAGACUGCAUCGCUUGAACAUCGGAGAGGUAAGUGGAAUUCCGAGUGUAGAGGUGAAAUUCGUAGAUAUUCGGAAGAACACCAGUGGCGAAGGCGACUUACUGGACGAUUGUUGACGCUGAGGUGCGAAAGCGUGGGGAGCGAACAGGAUUGAGAAACC
rnacentral:rRNA from 1 species